GUCGUAUGAAAGGCGGCAGGGUCGUAGCCACAGUGGGCAGUCCUCAUGCUGUCAGUAGGCAAGAAAUAUAGUCGUACGCAUAGGAGCGUGCAAGUCGUAAUGACUACACGUGAAACGUAUCGCCGCGGGUAGCUGCGCCGCCUCGCUAAUUACACGUAAUUAUCGUGCCGCGGCAGCAACAGCAAAUGGACGAAACCGAGAGAAAAGGAAAACGUACGAAGUGCCGUCAUUGAGAAAGGAAGAGGAGGACCUAUGCUACCGAAAUCAUUUGAACGAUAAUCUCUUUACGAUAGAAACCGUAGAAACGUAAGGAGACGCGGCUUGCUGAGAAGGUAAUUACGAGUGACGAACGUACGUAAAGAUCUCAAAUGGAUAUUUAGUGCAUGCUGAGUUUGUCAAUGGUGCGGAGAGCUGAGAGAGAGACAGAGAGAGAGAGAGAGAGGAUAAAUACCAAUAAAGAAUAGGCGUAAAUUA
rnacentral:lncRNA from 1 species